CCCAUAUGAUGAGAGUUUCUUCCCUGACAAACAGCUGGAGGUAAACUGAUUUAAUGAGCCUGAUGG